ACGACCUUACUUGAACAGGAUCUGUUCUAUAGGCUCGUACAUCCUCCUCAGCAAGAGGAAAGAUAGCAAGGAAUUUAAACUUGGACGAUGAUAGAAUGACCGCUCGAUCCGAGCGUGAUGUACGUACGGCGCCCGCUGUGACAACAGUUCAUAUCGGUGUUUGUCGGUUGAGGAUCGUUCUCGAGUGUGGUGUGUUAUAAUAUCUGCACCCGAGAUGGUCGAGUGGUGGUCUGACAAGUU
rnacentral:snoRNA from 1 species